CAAAAUGGUUCACCGGUUCCAGCAAAAACUAACGUGGUGAUGGUCUUGGGGUACUCCCAAGACGAGCGCCAGAGUAUAGCGGAUCGGCUUAACUGCUAGCUUGGGAGCUUCCCAAUGACUUAUCUGGGGAUACCCAUUAGUGAUUCUAGGCUCACGGUGGCUGAACUGCGCCCCACGGUGGGGAAGCUUCAGCACCGUAUCGAGCCUUGGCAAGGUCGGUGGCUCUCCAAAGCAGCACGUACGGUGCUCAUCAACUCGUCCCUCUUCAGCUUGCUCUUGUUCAUCAUGAGCUUCUACAGCCUUCCGGAGACGCUUCAUCACGAGAUCGCCACUGUUCAGGGCCGUUUCUUCUGGGCCGGUAAGGGAGACAAGUAG
rnacentral:rRNA from 1 species